rnacentral:rRNA from 1 species
UACGUAGGGUGCAAGCGUUAAUCGGAAUUACUGGGCGUAAAGCGUGCGCAGGCGGUUGUGCAAGACCGAUGUGAAAUCCCCGGGCUUAACCUGGGAAUGGCAUUGGUGACUGCACGGCUAGAGUGUGUCAGAGGGGGGUAGAAUUCCACGUGUAGCAGUGAAAAUGCGUAGAGAUGUGGAGGAAUACCGAUGGCGAAGGCAGCCCCCUGGGAUAACACUGACGCUCAUGCACGAAAGCGUGGGGAGCAAACAGG